rnacentral:rRNA from 1 species
AAUGGACGAAAGUCUGAACCAGCCAUGCCGCGUGAAGGAUGAAGGCCCUCUGGGUUGUAAACUUCUUUUAUAGGGGACGAAAAAAGCUCAUUCUUGAGCACUUGACGGUACCCUAGGAAUAAGCACCGGCUAACUCCGUGCCAGCAGCCGCGGUAAUACGGAGGGUGCAAGCGUUAUCCGGAUUUACUGGGUUUAAAGGGUGCGUAGGUGGGCAGUUAAGUCAGCGGUGAAAUCUCCGGGCUUAACCCGGAAACUGCCAUUGAUACUAUCUGUCUUGAAUAUCCUGGAGGUGAGCGGAAUAUGUCAUGUAGCGGUGAAAUGCUUAGAUAUGACAUAGAACACCAAUUGCGAAGGCAGCUCGCUACGGGAUUAUUGACACUGAGGCACGAAAGCGUGGGGAUCAAA